UAAUUUUGUGUUUGAGUGCCCAAAACAACAAAAGGCUGGUAGCCUAAACUAGCUAAUCAGCUAAACUCCGUAACAUACGUGGCGUGCUCCUGCUGCCUUUCUUCCUCUGCCCCCUCCUCCUUCUCCCACACUCCUUUGCUCUCUCUGCGCCCUCCCCUCUUAAUGAACCUGACCUAUCCAGCUUAAUUAGGGCAACAUCUCCCCCCCAUGAACUCCCCAAGUGUCUCUCUUAUGUUAGUCCUGCAGGGUCGCUA